rnacentral:rRNA from 1 species
AUUGAACGCUGGCGGCAGGCCUAACACAUGCAAGUCGAGCGGAUGACGGGAGCUUGCUCCUUGAUACAGCGGCGGACGGGUGAGUAAUGCCUAGGUAUCUGCCUGGUAGUGGGGGACAACGUUUCGAAAGGAACGCUAAUACCGCAUACGUCCUACGGGAGAAAGCAGGGGACCUUCGGGCCUUGCGCUAUCAGAUGAGCCUAGGUCGGAUUAGCUUGUUGGUGAGGUAAUGGCUCACCAAGGCGACGAUCCGUAACUGGUCUGAGAGGAUGAUCAGUCACACUGGAACUGAGACACGGUCCAGACUCCUACGGGAGGCGGAAGUGGGGAAUAUUGGACAAUGGGCGAAAGCCUGAUCCAGCCAUGCCGCGUGUGUGAAGAAGGUCUUCGGAUUGUAAAGCACUUUAAGUUGGGAGGAAGGGUUGUAGAUUAAUACUCUGCAAUUUUGACGUUACCGACAGAAUAAGCACCGGCUAACUCUGUGCCAGCCGCCGCCGUAAUAC